AGGCAGUGCUUUGCUAGCUGGCUGUU
rnacentral:ncRNA from 2 species